rnacentral:rRNA from 1 species
GACGAACGCUGGCGGCGUGCUUAACACAUGCAAGUCGAGCGGUAAGGCCCUUUCGGGGGUACGACGAGCGGCGAACGGGUGAGUAACACGUGGGUGACCUGCCCUUAGCUCUGGGAUAAGCCUGGGAAACUGGGUCUAAUACCGGAUAUGACUCCAUGACGCAUGUUGUGGGGUGGAAAGCCUUGUGCGGCUAGGGAUGGGCCCGCGGCCUAUCAGCUUGUUGGUGGGGUGAUGGCCACCAAGGCGACGACGGGUAGCCGGCCUGAGAGGGCGACCGGCCACACUGGGACUGAGACACGGCCCAGACUCCUACGGGAGGCAGCAGUGGGAAUCUUGCGCAAUGGGCGAAAGCCUGACGCAGCGACGCCGCGUGAGGGAUGACGGCC